rnacentral:lncRNA from 1 species
CAAAUCCUAUAUAAUUUUGCAGCUGGAGCAAGGAAAAGAGCUGUGGCGGGAAGGAAGAGAAUUUCUUCAAGACCAGAAUCCAGACAGGGAAAGUGCCCUUAAGAAAACACACACGAUAUCCAUGCAUCCUAUCAUCAGAAAAGAUGCAUCCACCAGUAUGACAAUGGAAAUCCCACUUCCAACUGGAUGUCUGGAUGAACUACUGAAAGCUGCUGAGUGUCCUGCAGCAGGUGA